UUUUUUUUUUUUUUUUUUUUUUGGUCUUUUCAGGGCCGCACCUAUAGCAUAUGAAGGUUCCCAGGCUAGGGGUCGAAUCGGAGCUAUAGCCGCUGGCCUACGCCACAGCCGCAACAAGCUGGGAUCUGAGGUGUAUCUAUGACCUACACCACAGCUCACGGCACCGCCAGAUCCUUAACCCCCUGAGCGAGGCCAGGGAUCGAACUAGUAUCCUCAUGGAUACUAGUCAGAUUCAUUUCCGCUGAGCUAUGACGGGACAUCCAAUAUUUCAAUUUUAAAAAGUUAAGCACCUGAAAAAUAUAAAAUAAAAUAGCCCUAGAAAGGCCAUCUCCUGGGACCAGAACUCUACAUGAGCAGCCUAUGGGGCUGUAAAUCGACUGAGAAAAAGUCUGAGUUAAAAAACACACAGAAACAAAAACCCUUCCCGCAUUGACAGUUUUCAUGCUCCUGUACAGGCAUGAGCAAGAAAUUCACAGCAUGGAGUUCUCACUGCGGCAAAGUGGGUUAAGAACUGACUGCAGUGGCUCAGGUUGCUGGGAGGACAUGGGUUCCGUCUGCGGCCCUGGAAUGUCCAUAUGCCGUGGGUGUGGCCAGAAAAAAAAGAAAGAAAUUCACAUCAGGCACACAUUGGCACCAGACUGCAUAAAACAUCACCUUCGUUCUGGUCAUUAAGCUUUUGUACUUGCUGCUUUUCCACCUGGCAUGCACCCCCCAUCCGCUACCCCCCCCAACCCGUCCAUCUCCCAGGCAAGGCCUAGGGGAGCCCCUCCUCCCCCACAAUGGCUUCCUGACCCACUGGGGCCUUGGGGGCCCUCUCUCUCCUCUGCUUGCUUGCAUGCUUGCUCGCUCACCCGUUUCCAGCUGUUGCAAGCUCAGCACAGUUAGGCAGGUAAUUGCCUCCAGCCCCCCACCCCAGCUGCAGGCCCGGCCUCAAUUGGACCAGAGCGAGCUGCGGGUUCUUCAACCGCUAGCCUGGUUUCAAGUGACUUUACAGAAAGCUACCUGCUAGUCUGCGGGCACCCUUUCCUCUUUAACUAUUUCGGCCAAAGCUGUCAUUAAGACCUAGCCCUGGCAGAGGGAUGGUAAGUUAUCCACACUGAGUGUCUAUGUGGUUCAAAAUAAGAUGAACCCCAAUGCCCAGCCAAGCAUCACAGAACAAGGUUUCUAAAGAAACAGUCUGGCUGUCACUGCCAUGGUGCAGGUUCAAUCUCUGGCCCAGGGAACUUCUGCAUGCCGUGGGUGUGGCCCCCUAAAAAGAGAAAGAAAAGAAAAGAAAAGAAAAAAGAAAAGCAAUGAUCCGAAAUACCACGUGUACCAGCAUCAUAUUUAUUUUCUCAGUCCCCUGACACUUAUUGGUGUGUACCUCUGACCUUGAGUUAGUUACACACCAGCCUCGCUCAGCCUUUCUUACCGGGUUAAAUGGAGAUAAACCAGGCGCGCACCCCACAGACUAUGUGGCUAUUGACUUCCCUUCCCUGCGUCUGUUUCCUCGGGGUGGGUGUGAUUCGAAGUGAGCUCAGGCAUAAAAGGGGCUCAGAACAAUGCUCGCACACGACACAACCCGCCCCUAAUAGGGACCCCCUUAUGACCACCGUCCCCCUCAAAUUACCCACACGCUGAUCUCUGUGGGUGCUCCUGGCUCAGUGCCUGCUGCAUAGUAAGUGCUCAAUAAAUCCUAGCUGUCGAUGCUCUGUGGUUAUUACUGCGUCGCAGUUUUCAAAGGCCUUGACAUCUUUUCACAUACUCUCACAGCACGUUCGGCUGAAUUCUGUUUUCUUUGUAAAACCAACCACCACAGUUUCAUCACUGUGGGAAGAAGACCUUUUUCGAGUCUUUUUUCUUUUGUAAUGACACGAUGCUUUGUGAUGGAAAAAUCAUUUGUUUAGUUUGAGUCUCUGUGUUUUCCUUUUUGAAAUGAAUUAACUGAUUGUUUUCCCCGUGUUCUUCCAAGGUUUAAAAAGGCACCAGUGAACCAUCCGAUGCAGGGGUCCCAGGCAGAGAGAAGCCACUUGCUGUCCCACUCUGUGUUGUCUCCCCCACAUCGAGGUCCCCCAGCCAUGCGACCGCUGUGCUCUGAGCUCCGCCCUCUCUGGACCUGCUCUGUGUGACUCUGCUUGCCCACAUGGCCUCACCGGUUCUGCCCCAUGUCACCUCAUGUCACAUCCCAGGACUUUCCUGGGCUCCUCUAACACCUCCCAGCCUACUGAUUUUCUUUUUUUCUUUUUAGGGCUGCACCCAUGGCAUGUGGAGGUUCCUAAGGCAUAUGUGGCCUACGCCACAGCCAUAGCAACGCGGGAUUCGAGCCGCCUCUGCAACCUACCCCAUGCUCAUGGCAAUGCCAGAUCCUUAACCUACUGAGCAAGGCCAAGGAUUAAACCCUCAUCCUCAUGGAUACUAGUCAGGUUCAUUAACCACUGAGCCAUGAUGGGAACUCCAGCCUAUUAAUCGUAACGGCUUUUUCAUCUGAGUGGCUUCAGGGUCCUUCCCUUAGUCACGUCUCGGUGGCACACCUGCUUGCUUCCAACAGAGAAGUCCGCUGAGGACGUAUAUGUGCAAAGACCUUUCUCCUUUAAGUCAAAGCACAUUUAAAACAAGAAACGUAAUCACAUCUUCUUGCUUUAGAUUUAACACGCAGUUGCAGGAGGCUGCAGCGUGCCAAAACAAGCCACUCUGGGGUAAGGACAGUUUCGAGCUGAAAGUGAUCAGCAGGCUACCCUCCUCUUUUCUACCGUUUGUACAGGAGGCUCUUUCCAUCCCAGAGAGAGGACGAUGACGCUAGUCACUGGCGAUGGCCCUUGGUGCUGGAGAAGGCACCACCUUGAGUCUGCGUCACGAACUUACUAAAUAACUUUCACCUUCCAUUAGUUUCCUCCACGUAUGUAACUUCCCACAAUUUGCCUCAGGGACCCUUCCUGCGUCUGGUUAGUUUUCCACAAUUUAUCACCCUUUGUUCAAACGGUAUAUAAGCUCCCAGGUCUAACCCCUCCUUUUGGUGUUCAUUUCUCUCCUGUGAAGAAAUGCACGUGAAAUAAACAUUUUCUCUUGCAGGUCCCAGGCACUAAACUUAAAGAGGAUAAAGAAUAAGGGUUUUUGUUGUUGUUGUUGUUGUUGCUAUGUGGUUUUUGGGGUUGUUUGUUUGCUUUUAACCUUCCCUACAUAGCCAUAUGUGUAGGAAAUGCACAAACAUUUAAAAACCAAUUUUUUUUUAACUGCCCAGAAGCAACUUCUCCAUCCGGAGGCAAUCAAUGCUCCCAUUUACGCAUCAUUUUUCCAAGUCUUCCCAUCCCCCUUCUGCAUCAACACAUACAAGCCGCGUGUCUAUAGGACAGGGAAGUGCAUCAAUAAAACAACAUAAAGAGCUGGGAAGCCUGAGAUGCAGAGACACUAGAACCAUUCUAGCCAUGUCACCUCCUAUCCAUGCAAACUUGAGCCUAGUAUCUAGCCUUCUCCAGCCUCAUUUCCUCCUCUGUGAAAUGGAGAGAAGAGGCUCCAUCUCACAAGGUUGAUAUGAGGCAUCUGUAAGACGAGACACAGUAAGGAUGGUUUCCUGGCACAGAGUGGGGACUAUUUAAGGAUAAACAUUCAUCUUAGUAAAUAGAUAUUAGUAACCAAUAAUUUUAAAUUAAAAUUGUAUCUUUAGAAUGUCUAUUAAGUUAAAAAUAAAUGUUGUAAGUUUCCACUUAAAACAUACAAUGUAGCUGCGAUUUCAAGGUAAAUCCACACAUCUUGCUUGAGUGUCAUUCCCACCAUAUGGACAGUAUUUCCCAUCAGCAUAAAUUGUUACAUGAGUUUUCAUGGCUGUAUAAGACUCACACCAUGAUACCUUUAUUUACUUAUUUAUUUAUUUGGCUUUUUUUUUUUUAAGGGCCACACCUGAGGCAUACGGAGGUUCCCAGGACAGGGGUCCAAUUGGAGCUACAGCUGCCAGUCUAUGCCACAGCCACAGCAACACGGGAUCCAAGCCACAUCUGUGACCUAUACCAAGAGUUCAUGGCAAUGCCAGUUGCUUAACCCACUGAACAAGACCAAGGAUUGAACCUGAGUCUUCAUGGAUAUUAGUUGGAUUUGUUACCACCUAGCCACAAAGGGAUCUCCUUUAAUUUUUCUUUUUUUAAUGCCCACACCUGUGGCAUAUAGAAGUUCCUGGGCCAGGGACUGGAUCCAAACUGUAGCCUAUGCCACAGCUGUGGCAACCCUGGAUCCUUUAGCCCAGGAUGCCGGGCCGGGGAUCAAACCUGCACCUUUAUAGACACCUGAGCUGCUGUAACCCAUUGAGCUACGGUGGGAAUACCACAGUGUCUUUAAUUUUUGACAGAAAUAACUGUUCAUCUCAAUGCCAUCAAAGGACAGCCAGGAUAGAAGAAUCCUGGCGUUUCCUUGUUCCAGCCCUUUAAAAGUCCAUUUUCUACCCUGGCUCCCUUCAACUUCAUUAAAAUCUCUAUGAAAGUGGCUUUCUGCACAUUUGAUUUAUAAUCACCAGCUAACAUGAAUAAAUCAUCUCUGGAGGAAAUUAAAUCACAAGCAUUUCAACUCCAAGUGCUUGGACGGAACAAUUUCUCUGCUCCUCCUGGCCCUGCAGACACCCACAAAUUGCCAUUUCCUGGGGCCUGAAAGGGGCCUCGGUCCAGAAAAAUGAGGGGCCGGAGCUGCCACCCCGCCUCCCUUGCUGAAGGCACAGGGUGCUUCCUCGUCCCCUAAGGAUGCUGCAAACACACUUGGCAAGAGACAGGACAGGCAUCCGGCCCCCGUGCCACAGGUGUGGACACUGAGCUUCAGAAGUACCCGGACCAGAUUCACAUGGUCGUUGACAGAGCCAGGAUGCCACCAGUGCUGGCUGAAUCCCUCUGUGUGCCCUCCCCCCAUCCAUGUUGUCCCACAGAAGAGAUGCGUGUCUUCCCAAGAAAGCAGCUUUGAGAGAGAGUUCGGCAUAGCUGAUGCACGGAGGUCAGAGGUUAUGAGAACCCCCAUCACACUUCCAUUCCUAGCCAGGAUCCUCCCAUGAGGCUGAAGAGCCAGCUCACAUAGUCCAGCGUGAACCCCGUACGGAACCACACAUCACCCGGGGAGGGCUCUGGGCAGGCCCUUGUUCCCACCCGACUCUGCUCACUGAAGUGAGCCUUCUAAACCAGGGGUGAAUCCAGCCUUUUUCCUUCCCCAUGACUGCAGGCAACUGGUCCCCACAGAUGGGGACUCCUGCCUGGCUCCCUUUCCCCUAGCCAGGGCCUGACCCCUGGACCUUGGAGGGGUCCUGCCCUGGGGGCCAGACACCUGGGUAGGAGAUUGGUCCAGGGGUGGUGCUAUGAGCAGUCGGCCCCAGAACAGCCAACACUCUCUCCCUAACUCCAUGGAAGGGGAAACAGAGACCAGGAGAUGCCCUCCAUGUGCCCCAGAGCCAGCGGCUUGUUUCUGGGUCUAGUUUCUCAGCACCUGAGAGCUUUUAAAACUAACACCAAAGAGGGAGUGGCCCUUGUGGCUCAGCGGGUUAAGAAUACGGCUAGUAUCCAUGAGGAUGCAGGUUCAUUGCUGCUGAGCCACACUGGGAACUCCCCGGAGGACUUUCAAAAGCAAAUGAGAGAGCGACUGCCCAGGCUUGUAGCUGAAGCCUGGGGCUUUAGGACCACGGAGUGCAUUUGGAAUUGAGCUGCCAGGGUUCGAGUCUGCCUCUGCUACUUCCUAGCAGGUUAACUACUAGUAAGACCAUUCUGCUCUAACAUGAGGAUGGUGACAGCUCUCAGCACCCAGUGUCUUUGGCGGUAAGAUGUCACAAGUCACGGAAACUGGUGGCCAGACUGAAAACAACCCAAACAUCCAUCAGCUGGUAAACGGGUAAACAGAAAGCGGCAAACACGUACAAUGGAAUACUACCCUGCGGGAAAAAAGUAUGAAUACUGACACCUGCCACGACGCGGAUCAACCUCAAAGACAUUCUGCCUAUGAAAAAAGCCAGGCACAGGAGACACUGUAUCCUGUGAUUCCAUUUAUACGAAAUAUCCAGGAAAGGCAACUCUAUAGAGACAGAAAGUAGACUGGGGGCUGCCUGGAGCUGGGAGAGUGGUCAGUGACUGCAAGCAGGUCCAAGGGAUCUGCUGGGGCGAUGGGAACUCGUAAAACUGGAUCCUGGUGAUGGCUGCACGGCUUUGUAAAUUUACUAAAGUGUAUUAAAUUGUACAAUGAAAACAAGUGAAUGUUAGGCUCUGUAA
rnacentral:lncRNA from 1 species